AUGAACGCUGGCGGCGUGCCUAACACAUGCAAGUCGAACGGUUCCAGUAGCAAUACUGGGAUAGUGGCGAACGGGUGAGUAACACGUAAGAAACCUGCCCUUAAGACCGGGAUAAUUCGUCGAAAGGCGGACUAAUACCGGAUGUGGUCCAAAAAGCGCAUGCUUUUUGGAUUAAACCCAGUAAUGGGCUUAAGGAUGGGCUUGCGGCCUAUCAGCUAGUUGGAGGGGUAACGGCCCACCAAGGCUAUGACGGGUAGUUGGUCUGAGAGGACGACCAAUCACAAGGGAACUGAGACACGGUCCCUACUCCUACGGGAGGCAGCAGUGAGGAAUUUUCCGCAAUGGGCGAAAGCCUGACGGAGCGACGCCGUGUGUGGGAUGAAGUUUUUCGGAAUGUAAACCACUGUCAGAGGGGGCGAUAUUGACGGUACCCUCAGAGGAAGGCCCGGCUAACUACGU
rnacentral:rRNA from 1 species